UGCUCUAACAGACCUAUCACAGAUCAGUGCCCCAGUGCUUUUGAAAUCACUGCCAUAGAGCUCGAAAGUCCCGCCCCUUAGUUCCGCGUUUCACGGGACCUAAGCUGACCAUCUAACAACGUGGUAGCGAGUAAAUAUCUUCUGAUCUCAGUCAUGAUAUGCGCUGGGCUACAAAUAUGCUGUUUAAGAUGAUAGAUAAAGAUUAUUCAUGCAGAAGUAUCAAUGUUUUGUUCCGAGACCGUCGGCAUGAAAAAUGUGAAGAAACACCCCACACAGCAGAGGACUCCGAUGCGGAGCCGCGUUCAAGUCACCACAUCCGUGUCACUGUCACAUCCCUUUGGGUUCCACUUGGUGGAUCAGGGUCGCCACCGUGCGCCGCCCCAAAUUCUACUGUCAAAACACGGACCAUAAUCGCAUCCAUAUCUGAUUCACAAACGCGGACGCGCUGUAAAAUCUAACGGACGUUGGUACAGUUUUUGUUGGGGCAGACACGACCGAACAGCGCUCUCCAUAAACAGGUGGAAUUACCUCUGGGUCGGACAGGGCUAGCCAGCUGUAAUCCACCCUGCUACGGUGAUGCCCGCCUGCCUCCCGGCUUUUACGACCAAGAAUCGGAGCGCUGAUGUGAUGUUUCCCCGUCGACUGAUGAGGGAAGGAAGAGAAUGCAGCCACGACACGCGAUUGUUCAACAUGACAGUGAGACAGAAAAAUAAUGUCAAGAUAAAUAAAAAAUCAUGAUGAGUGAAGUUCUUCGUCAGGUUGUGUUUUUUUCGGGAUCUUAUUUAAACGGUGUCUAGGCCAGGUCUGUGUUAUCUGUAGAAUUAAAUCUAAAUGCUGUUUGUAACGGUUAACUGGUUUAGUGUUCGUUUAUUGGGAUUAUAGCAUAAUAAGAAAGUAACUUUAUGAGCACGGAUCCAAAAUGGUCCCGGCCCGGAACAUCUAUGAGUCCGGAAUGGGUCCGUAACUGAUAAAAAGUAGUGGAACCGUGACGGAUACAAUAAGUGGACACGGAAUGAGUCCGCAUCGGAUGUCGCGCCUCCGAACCGGGCUCACUGCGGAGGUACGCUUCUGCACGCGGAUCCGUUGCGGGUGACAAACGGGUCCCUUUUGAGUCCGCACCACGCCUCCGCGUCGGAUGAUAGGCGGCGUGCAAGUGGACGCCGAUACGGCCCCGUUUACCGGAUCCGUUCCGGAGGAUGACCUCCGGAUGGUGGACUCCGGGGCGGAUCCAUUACGGUGUACUUUUGCUGUG